UGAUUCUGGCUCACCAAUGGAAACAGAACACAUUUAGGAAAUAAACGGGGGUUCAUCGAGCACGAUCACGUUGCAAACUGCUGUCUAUAUAGGCGUGACGGAUAUCGAAAAACUUAAGAUUCAACUUUUACCUGGCAACUCCGACAAAUUACCUGACAUCAAAACAGACACUAACCGACAUGCAUCGAUGUUGGCUCUUUUCCAAGUCAGUGGAUCCCCCUGGUUCAGGUAUCUAAUCAUGUGAGUGGAUGAGCCGACGGGACGAGACCUAUCUUUGCCUUCAGAGAAUCUAAUUAAAAUGCAGCAUGGUAAACCACGUAUUUUUCCCGAAAUCCUCGGCAAAAUUGUACCUCAUUACCUGGUUUGGAUACUCAUUCACGGCGCAUGUGGAUCCAGUUUUCUUUUUGAAUUCAAUAUGUUACACGAGACUUUAUUUUCCGCUUUGUGGUGGUAGUCUGCGGUUGGCAUGGCAACUGUUCCUAAUAAAUGAGAUCGACGAGGGACCACUGAGAUAUGGUAAAGCAAAGGAAACGUGAGAGCCGUGAUGAGACCAGUAGAGUUCCGGCUGCAAUUGCAUUCGCAGUGUAAAAUUAAAUCAAGAGGUUUUAAGUGAGAUCAACCGAACGACUACUUUCAUCAACUCUAUCUGCCUACUCACUGACG